AAGUCGUAACAAGGUUUCCGUAGGUGAACCUGCGGAAGGAUCAUUAACACGUAUCCACGUACCAACCCCAAGUGUCACGAGCUGCGCGAGCCGGUCAAACUUUAGUUGACCGUAUGCAGCAAAUCAAUUCAUUUUGAUUUGCUGCGCGUGCUCAGUUUUCUCUCUGCUUUUCCAUUGAAUUUUAACCACUUGAACCCAUCAGACUAAAACCAUUUCGAGUUUUUUGGCGGUCUCCGCUGAAAGCCGAAACAAUAAAAUAACAAGAAACAACUCUUAGCGACGGAUUUCUUGGCUCCC
rnacentral:misc_RNA from 1 species